rnacentral:rRNA from 1 species
UACAGAGGGUGCAAGCGUUGUUCGGAAUUAUUGGGCGUAAAGGGCGCGUAGGCGGUGCGGUAAGUCCGCAGUGAAAUCUCUGGGCUCAACUCAGAGUCUGCUGUGGAAACUGCCGUGCUUGAGUGUGGGAGAGGUGAGUGGAAUUCCCGGUGUAGCGGUGAAAUGCGUAGAUAUCGGGAGGAGCACCUGUGGCGAAAGCGGCUCACUGGACCACAACUGACGCUGAGGCGCGAAAGCUAGGGGAGCAAACAGG